CUUUCGAGUUUCAAAAAUGGGUCAUGAUUAAGAUACAACUUACAAUCCAAAGAGGCCAAUUCAAUCGCAUGUAGAUGGUGUAAAUCCUGAAGAUGGACAGAUGCACUCUGAAAAUACACAUUCAACAUUGGGUCAGUAUCUCAGCCCCAUCUUUUGUUAUUAAAAUGGUGUGCUCAAACUGUGCUGAUAGGCUUCCAUCUUCUGUAACAACUGUCCAGUUAUCAUUC
rnacentral:misc_RNA from 1 species